UACGUAGGGUGCGAGCGUUGUCCGGAAUUAUUGGGCGUAAAGGGCUCGUAGGCGGUUUGUCGCGUCGGGAGUGAAAACACCGGGCUUAACUCGGUGCUUGCUUUCGAUACGGGCAGACUAGAGGCAUGCAGGGGAGAACGGAAUUCCUGGUGUAGCGGUGAAAUGCGCAGAUAUCAGGAGGAACACCGGUGGCGAAGGCGGUUCUCUGGGCCGUAACUGACGCUGAGGAGCGAAAGCGUGGGGAGCGAACAGG
rnacentral:rRNA from 1 species